GUUGGUGAACCAGCGGAGGGAUCAUUACCGAGUUUCAAACUCACCAACCCACUGUGAACAUACCUACGUUGCUUCGGCGGCGGGCUUCGGCCCCCGCCGGGGACCCUAAACACUAUUUUUAACCGAUACCUCUGAGUAAAAAACAAAUAAAUCAAAACCUUUAACAACGGAUCUCUUGGCUCUG
rnacentral:misc_RNA from 1 species